CCAGACUACACUUUCUUGCACACCACCACGCUGCCACCGGUCACCCUCCUCCUGUCGCUGCCGCCGGACAAACACACCUACCUCCGCACGACCGCACCUAGGGUUUCGUCAGCCGCCGCUGGACAAACGCACCUACCUCCUCCUGUCGUCGCCAGCGUACAAACACACCUACCUCCGCACCUAGGGUUUCGUCAACCACCGCCGGACAAACACACCUACUACCGUCGUUUGGGGAUAAUACUUUUGAUUUUGUGUUUUCAGGUGACGGUGGAUUGGACAGAUCGGAAAAGCAGGGGAGUUUGAUGUAGGGUUAUGGGGUUGUGCGAAUAAGUUAAUUAGUAGUAAAAGAUCGAUGUUUUAUUAAGAAUCUUGAAACAGAGUGUUUUGUUCUUGACUUAAUCUUGAUCUUCCUGUGUAAAGUGAUUACUGUUUGUGUUUGUUGAUUGAGAAAGAAUGUGAAAAGUUUGUGGGGUUUGAUUAUUUGAAGAAGUUGAGAAGUGGGAAGUUGGAUAUGGUUGCUAGACAACAAGCAGCUGAUUGGAUUUUAAAGAAAGACAAAGAUUGGAUGAUGCAAUUGCUAGCUGAAACCUGCUUAUCACUUGUAUCUAAAAUGGAAGAGACUAAAGUUCCUCACAUUCUUGAUUUAAAGGUUUGUGAAUAAAAGUAUGUAUUUGAAGCAAAAACCAUUCAAAAGAUGGAGCUUCUUGUGCUGACAACGUUGAAAUGGAGGAUGGAGAAAGCAGUGGCGGACCUAGGAAUUUUUCCAUGGGGGUGCGGAACAUUUUAAAAAUUUUAGGUCCCUAGGUAUAUGAGUAAAAAAAUCGGUUCGUAUCGGGUCGGGUCUGGUCAUGUAAAACAAACGAACA